AAACCUCAAUUAAUGCAAAUGUAUUUAUUUACCAUCUUUAAAAAAAUCGAAUCACUAUUAUCAGAUCGUUUUGAUAUUUUUUAAUUAUAUAUAUAAACAAUGCAACAGGAAAUAAGUAAUCACAGAUACCUCACACUGACAAUGCUUGAUGGUUUACUGAAUCAGGAUGGAGUGGCAUGGCUGCAUUCACACUAUUGUGUCAUCUUUUAGGUAUAAACUGGUCAAUAGUCCUAUCUCAAAGGGCUGUUUGCUUUGAAAAUGAAGUUAUGGAUUUCAGAAUUUUAGAUUGGGGCUACUCAACCCAUAAUUUCAAAUUAGUAAUAAAAUUUCCCAUCAUAAUACAUUGUUUAUUAAUGAGAAAAAUUCUGAUUUUACUAUGAGUACAAGGAAUCCUUGAUUUAUAGCAGUGAAACAUUCAAAAAUUUUGGUUGUAAUUCUAAUCCAUCAUAACUUGAAACAUGAUUUCCCAUAGGCC
rnacentral:lncRNA from 1 species